rnacentral:rRNA from 1 species
GGCUCAGGAUGAACGCUAGCUACAGGCUUAACACAUGCAAGUCGAGGGGAAACGAUAGAGAAGCUUGCUUUUUCUAGGCGUCGACCGGCGCACGGGUGAGUAACGCGUAUCCAACCUGCCCAUCACUUGGGGGAUAACCUUGCGAAAGUAAGACUAAUACCCAAUGACGUCUCUAGAAGACAUCUGAAAGAGAUUAAAGAUUUAUCGGUGAUGGAUGGGGAUGCGUCUGAUUAGCUUGUUGGCGGGUAACGCCACCAAGGCGACGAUCAGUAGGGGUUCUGAGAGGAAGGUCCCCCACAUUGGAACUGAGACACGGUCCAAACUCCUACGGGAGGCAGCAGUGAGGAAUAUUGGUCAAUGGACGAGAGUCUGAACCAGCCAAGUAGCGUGCAGGAUGACGGCCCUAUGGGUUGUAAACUGCUUUUAUAAGGGAAUAAAGUGAGUCUCGUGAGACUUUUUGCAUGUACCUUAUGAAUAAGGACCGGCUAAUUCCGUG